UGCCAGCCGCCGCGGUAAUACGGAAGGUCCUAGCGUUGUUCGGAAUUACUGGGCGUAAAGCGCAUGUAGGCGGAACAGAAAGUUAGAAGUGAAAUCCCUGGGCUCAACCUAGGAAUUGCUUUUAAAACUUCUGUUCUGGAAUUCAGGAGAGGAAAAUGGAAUAUCCAGUGUAGAGGUGAAAUUCGUAGAUAUUGGAUGGAACACCAGUGGCGAAGGCGAUUUUCUGGGCCAUUUUUGACGCUGAGAUACGAAAGCGUGGGUAGCGAACAGGAUUAGAAA
rnacentral:rRNA from 1 species